UCUCCAGUGGCGCAGUUGGUUAGCGCAUGGUACUUAUAUGUCAGUAGUUAUGUGACACUAAUCAACAGAUUAAUAAGUGUUUAAGGAGCAAUGCCGAGGUCGCGAGUUCGAGCCUCGCCUGGAGAA
rnacentral:tRNA from 1 species